UAAUAACUGAAAUAAUUAAUAAUAUAUAUAAAUAAAGCAGCACUUCCUCAGCAUCACCCAUCCUCUCUCUCCUGGAGUGGGGAGGUGAAGGAAAAGGAACCAAAUCCUCCCCAAAAAUGACCCAAAUUCCCGUUAUCCCAAAAAAAAUGGGAUCAUUUCCCUCCUCCUCACCCUCCCCUCCCUUCCAGGCCCUUCUACAAAGCUCCGCCAGCCGCAAGACCCAGAAAAAGAAGAAAAAGAAGGCUUCCAAAAACGCGGAAAACGCCACCACGGGGGAGACGGCGGAGGAGAACGAGGCCGGCGACUGAGAAAUCGCUUUGGAGUUCUCAAAUCGCUCCUUUUUUCCCCAAAAAAACAAACAAACAAACAAAAAAAAUCCCCACAAAAAAACAAAAUUCCAUCCGGAAACGAAAUAAUCUGGCGUUGGUCCGGACAUAAAUUCCAGUCUGGAAUUCCCACAGAAUCCCAACAGCUCCCGUUGAUUUUGCCAAGGAGGGAGGAAUCUCUCGGUCACUUCAGAUUUUUAAAAGCGAAAAAAUAAUAAUAAUAAUAAUAAUAAUAAUAAAAAACAUCCCCAAAAGAGCA
rnacentral:lncRNA from 1 species